AUGAACGCUGGCGGCGUGCCUCAUACAUGCCAGUCGAGCGAACAGACGAGGAGCUUGCUCCUCUGACGUUAGCGGCGGACGGGUGAGUAACACGUGGAUAACCUACCUAUAAGACUGGGAUAACUUCGGGAAACCGGAGCUAAUACCGGAUAAUAUAUUGAACCGCAUGGUUCAAUAGUGAAAGACGGUUUUGCUGUCACUUAUAGAUGGAUCCGCGCCGCAUUAGCUAGUUGGUAAGGUAACGGCUUACAAGGCAACGAUGCGUAGCCGACCUGAGAGGGUGAUCGGCCACACUGGAACUGAGACACGGUCCAGACUCCUACGGGAGGCAGCAGUAGGGAAUCUUCCGCAAUGGGCGAAAGCUUGACGGAGCAACGCCGCGUGAGUGAUGAAGGUCUUCGGAUCGUAAAACUCUGUUAUUAGGGAAGAACAAAUGUGUAAGUAACUAUGCACGUCUUGACGGUACCUAAUCAGAAAGCCACGGCUAACUACGUG
rnacentral:rRNA from 1 species